UACGAAGGGGGCUAGCGUUGUUCGGAUUUACUGGGCGUAAAGCGCACGUAGGCGGAUCGUUAAGUCGGGGGUGAAAUCCUGGAGCUCAACUCCAGAACUGCCUUCGAUACUGGCGAUCUUGAGUCCGGAAGAGGUGAGUGGAACUCCUAGUGUAGAGGUGGAAUUCGUAGAGAUGUGGAGGAACACCAGUGGCGAAGGCGACUCUUUGGUCUGUAACUGACGCUGAGGCGCGAAAGCGUGGGGAGCAAACAGG
rnacentral:rRNA from 1 species